rnacentral:rRNA from 1 species
CGCGUAGGCGGUUUUCCAAGUCAGGGGUGAAAGCCCGGGGCUCAACCCCGGAAUAGCCCUUGAAACUGGAAGACUAGAAUCUUGGAGAGGUCAGUGGAAUUCCGAGUGUAGAGGUGAAAUUCGUAGAUAUUCGGAAGAACACCAGUGGCGAAGGCGACUGACUGGACAAGUAUUGACGCUGAGGUGCGAAAGCGUGGGGAGCAAACA